rnacentral:rRNA from 1 species
GAUGAACGCUGGCGGCGUGCCUAAUACAUGCAAGUCGAGCGAACGGACGAGAAGCUUGCUUCUCUGAUGUUAGCGGCGGACGGGUGAGUAACACGUGGAUAACCUACCUAUAAGACUGGGAUAACUUCGGGAAACCGUAGCUAAUACCGGAUAAUAUUUUGAACCGCAUGGUUCAAAAGUGAAAGACGGUCUUGCUGUCACUUAUAGAUGGAUCCGCGCUGCAUUAGCUAGUUGGUAAGGUAACGGCUUACCAAGGCAACGAUGCAUAGCCGACCUGAGGGGGUGAUCGGCCACACUGGAACUGAGACACGGUCCAGACUCCUACGGGAGGCAGCAGUAGGGAAUCUUCCGCAAUGGGCGAAAGCCUGAAGGAGCAACGCCGCGUGAGUGAUGAAGGUCUUCGGAUCGUAAAACUCUGUUAUUAGGGAAGAACAUAUGUGUAAGUAACUGUGCACAUCUUGACGGUACCUAAUCAGAAAGCCACGGCUAACUACGUG